AUGGGAACCCGAGCGGGACUCAGUCGCGGGCAUCCAGGCGGUAUCAGCCUGCUGGGCCGCAGGAGCCACGCGGGUGAGCGUCGUCGCCAAGGUGACAGGGUGUGUGCGGUGUGGAGGAGGGACCUGAAAACGCAGCAGGAAUGGAAGUUAUGCAGCCUCCAUGGCAGGGGUCCCCCGCCCCUUCCCGUGACCCUGACGUCCCACUGCUGGGCCUGCGCAGGAAAGGAGCGUGUCCGGGGCGGGGACUGCGCACCGCCACGGCCCCCAGCUCUGCUCGCGGGGACUGCGCACCGCCACGGCCCCCAGCUCUGCUCAUGGGAGCCCGGCGGGGACACGUGCACCUCCACCGCCCCCCAGCUCUGCUCACGGGAGCCCGGCGGGGACACGUGCACCUCCACCGGCCCCCAGCUCUGCUCACGGGAGCCCGGCGGGGACUGCGCACCGCCACGGCCCCCAGCUGUGCUCACGGGAGCCCGGCGGGGACUGCGCACCGCCACGGCCCCCAGCUCUGCUCACGGGAGCCCGGCGGGGACUGCGCACCGCCACGGCCCCCAGCUCUGCUCACGGGAGCCCGGCGGGGACUGCGCACCGCCACGGCCCCCAGCUCUGCUCACGGGAGCCCGGCGGGGAUGUGUGCACCUCCACCGCCCCCCAGCUCUGCUCACGGGAGCCCGGCGGGGACGCGUGCACCGCCACGGCCCCCAGCUCUGCUCACGGGAGCCCGUCGGGGACGUGUGCACCUCCACCGCCCCCCAGCUCUGCUCACGGGAGCCCGGCGGGGACGCGUGCACCGCCACGGCCCCCAGCUCUGCUCACGGGAGCCCGUCGGGGACGUGUGCACCUCCACCGCCCCCCAGCUCUGCUCACGGGAGCCCGGCGGGGAUGUGUGCACCUCCACCGCCCCCCAGCUCUGCUCACGGGAGCCCGGCGGGGACGCGUGCACCGCCACGGCCCCCAGCUCUGCUCACGGGAGCACUGCUUGCUGUCUGCUGGGCGUCCGUCGCCCACCGAGCCAGGACUCUUGCUGCCCCGACGGAUCAUGUGGUUCACACUUGCAGCCGCAGAACCGGUCCUGAGAGGCACCUGACUUCGUGGAAGGAGGGCGGGAAAGGUCGGUCACCCGCUGGGCAGGACCCCUCAGGGCACCAGGGGCGGGCAGAGCUCACGGCCCGGGCUUCUCCGCAUCUUCCAGCACGGGGAUGGACGCAAUCCAGGGGUAGGGCAGCUCCCGUGACCCUGAAGGCCAGCACUGGGCACCGGGCUGCUGCUGUCGGGGGCUGGGGCUUCUCCCUGGGGUGGAGAGGAGGCAGCCCCGGCUGCUCGGGCAGGGGCGGAGACACUGUCCAGGCAGCUCCUCCCCGGGGCAGCCGCCAGCAGGGCGUCCUGUGCCCAGCUCCUCCCUCCCCGGGGUUCUGGAGUUCUCACUGCCGCCUCGCGCAUGUGUGUUCCGCGGUAGCUCUGACGGGCGUGGGUCUCCCCUGUGGCCGGCUGUCCCGUUGGUGGUCUUGCUUUGAAGGGCAGAGUCAGUGCCCAUCUGCUAUCCACUCCCCAGAUGACCACAGCAGCCUGGGCAGAGCUCCAUCCAGGCCUCCCAGCGGGCAGCAAGAACCCGGCUACCUGAGCUGUCACCCUGCCUCCCGGCGGGCGGCAAACACCCAGCUACCUGAGCUGCCACCCUGCCUCCCGGUGUGUUUUGUUGCUGGUUGUCCUUUUACCUGUCCCAUUGUUUUCAUGGAGUCGGUUUGGUCUUCUCUGUGCUCUGCCAUGCCAGGCUACGUAGGAGACAACCCAGUGUCCCGCGUGUGCUCUGCGUUCUGGCUGUUCCCUCUUGCAUGUCGUGGGGCGAGGUCGCUGAAGCUGGACACGUGCCAGGCUUCAGCUGCCGCGUCUCGGGGGCUCCUGCCUGGCUCCAGGUGGCGCAGGCUCCUCCUGGGCAUUCUGUGUUUUUACCUUGACGUCUGGGGUUCGCUUGAUGCGUGGGCGCCACGUGGUUGCCCAGUGGUUCCAGCACAACCUGGUGACAGCCGACCUGGUGGUCUCGUGCAGACGGUGUCCUGCCACUCACCCAUGAGGGCCGCCUCUGCACCUGCACACCCGCGGCCCUGGGCUGGGUGGCCUGGGGGGCGUCCAGCGUGGCACGGCAGGCGUCCCACACGGCUGCGCGUGCCUCAGACGACCUCUCCCCUCGUUCUUUCCAGCUGA
rnacentral:lncRNA from 1 species